ACUACGGGUGGCAGCAGUGAGGAAUAUUGGUCAAUGGGCGCGAGCCUGAACCAGCCAAGUCGCGUGAAGGAUGAAGGAUCUAUGGUUUGUAAACUUCUUUUAUAUGGGAAUAAAGUGUGGAACGUGUUCCUUUUUGUAUGUACCAUAUGAAUAAGCAUCGGCUAACUCCGUGCCAGCAGCCGCGGUAAUACGGAGGAUGCGAGCGUUAUCCGGAUUUAUUGGGUUUAAAGGGUGCGUAGGUGGUUUAUUAAGUCAGCGGUGAAAGUUUGGGGCUCAACCAUGAAAUUGCCUUUGAAACUGGUUGGCUAGAGUAUAUUUGAGGUGGGCGGAAUGCGAGGUGUAGCGGGGAAAUGCAUAGAUAUCACGCAGAACACCGAUGGCGAAGGCAGCAUACCGGCGCCCGACUGACGCUGAGGCACGAAAGCGUGGGGAUCGAACAGGAUUAGAUACCCUGGUAGUC
rnacentral:rRNA from 1 species